rnacentral:rRNA from 1 species
UGGGGAAUUUUGGACAAUGGGCGAAAGCCUGAUCCAGCAAUGCCGCGUGUGUGAAGAAGGCCUUCGGGUUGUAAAGCACUUUUGUCCGGAAAGAAAUGGCUCUGGUUAAUACCUGGGGUCGAUGACGGUACCGGAAGAAUAAGGACCGGCUAACUACGUGCCAGCAGCCGCGGUAAUACGUAGGGUCCAAGCGUUAAUCCGAAUUACUGGGCGUAAAGCGUGCGCAGGCGGUUGUGCAAGACCGAUGUGAAAUCCCCGAGCUUAACUUGGGAAUUGCAUUGGUGACUGCACGGCUAGAGUGUGUCAGAGGGGGGUAGAAUUCCACGUGUAGCAGUGAAAUGCGUAGAGAUGUGGAGGAAUACCGAUGGCGAAGGCAGCCCCCUGGGAUAACACUGACGCUCAUGCACGAAAGCGUGGGGAGCAAACAGG